GCGCCGGUUGUGAAAGCGGACGAAGGCGAAGCCCCGGGGCGCCUUGGUGUGGUGCUCCCGCGGGAUAUACACGUCGCCCACGCGCCCGUACUUCUCGAACACGCGCCUCAGGCUGUCGGGAGAGGUCCGUCCCCAGUUCUCGAGGACAACGACCACGACCACGACCACGACCACGACCACGACCACAAGAACCCCAGCUUCCAGUGGAAGGGAGAAGAACCUGGGCUGAUUUCCCCAGGCCCACCUGCACCCAGGUGAAAUAAACAGCCUUGUUGCUCACACAAAGUCUGUUUGGCGGUCUCUUCACAUGAACACGUGAGACAUUUGGUGCCGAAGACCCGGGUCAGCGGGACUCCUUCGGGAGACCAGUCACCUGUCCUCACCCUCACUCUGUGAAGAGAUCCACCUAUGACCUCAGGUCCUCAGCCCAAGGAACGUCUCACCGAUUUUAAAUCAGAUCUUCUCGGCUUAGCGACUGAAGACUGAUGCUGCCUGAUGGUCUCGGAAACCCCCUAGACAGAUGCUUUGGGUAACUCUUACAGUGGAGGAUUUCUAGCCAUAUGAAGACACCCUAGCUGGACAAUCAGUUCUUGUUAAGAAUCUGAUCCCUCAAACUCUACAACCUCGAUGGACCGGACCCUACUUAGUCAUCUAUAGUACCCCAACUGCCGUCCACCUGCAGGAUCCUCCCCACUGGGUUCACCAUUCCAGGAUAAAGCUGUGUCCAUUGGACAGCCAGCCUGAUCUCUCCUCUUCCUCCUGGAAGUCGCAAGUACUUUCCCCUACUUCCCUUAAACUCACUCACAUUUCUGAAGAACAGUAAUAACCCUUAUGAGCCUAAUACAUCCCUUCAUUAUGUUAGGUCUGUUUGUCCUUACCCUACUUUUUGCAACAGGGCUUUAUGAAGUCACCCCCACUACUUGGACUGAGCCCCAAAAACUAGUUAUCCCUACUACUUCUGUCUAGUCAUACUCCUAUUCACCGUUCUCAACUACUCAUAAAUGCCCUACUCUUGUUUACACUGCCGGUUUACACUGUUUCUCCAAGCCAUCACAGCUGAUAUCUCCUGGUGCUAUCCUCAAACGGCCACUGUUAACUCCCUCUUAAAGUAAAUAAAUAAAUAAUUUUUGCUAGCAGGGCUAUGCUGAACCUCCUUGGGCACUCUCUAAUUGGAUGUCCUGGGUCCUCCCAGUUCUUAGUCCUUUAAUAACUGUUUUUCUCUUUCUCUUAUUCAGACUGUGUGUCUUCUGUUUAGUUUCUCAAUUCAUACAAAACUGCAUCCAGGCCAUCACCAAUCGUUGUAUACAACAAAUGCUCUUUCUAACAACCCCACAGUAUCGCCCCUUACCCCAAAAUCUUUCUUCAGUUUAAUCUCUCCCACUCUAGGUUCCCACGCCACCCCUAAUCCCACUCGAAGCAGCCCUGAGAAACAUUGCCCAUUAUCUCUCCAUACCACCCCCCAAAAUUUUCCCCACCCUAACACUUUACCACUAUUUUGUUUUAUUUUUCUUAUUAAUUAAGAAGACAGGAAUGUCAGGCCUCUGAGCCCAAGAUAAGCCAUCAUGUCCCCAGCAACCUGCACAUAUAUAUCCAGAUAGCCUGAAGCAACUGAAGAUCCACAAAAGAAGUGAAAAUAGCCUUAACUGAUGACAUUCCACCAUUGUGAUUUGUUUCUGCCCCACCCUAACUGAUCAAUGUACUUUGUAAUCUCCCCCACCCUUAAGAAGGUUCUUUGUAAUUCUUCCCACCCUUGAGAAUGUACUUUGUGAGAUCCUCCCUGCCCCCAAAACAUUGCUCUUAACUCCACCGCCUAUCCCAAAACCUCUAAGAACUAAUAAUAAUCCCACCACCCUUUGCUAAUUCUCUUUUUGGAUUCAGCCCGCCUACACCCAGGUGAAAUAAACAGCCUUGUUGCUCACACAAA